rnacentral:lncRNA from 1 species
ACAGGUUGGGCCAGUUUGGCCUAAAUGCUGCCUAAAAGUUCAGUCCAUGAUGCCAACUUUAGAUGAGUGCAUCUCCGAAACCAAUGAUCCAAAUGGGAUGAUUCAAAAAAGGUGUGAGAGAGGACAUGGCAAGGUACAAUUGUCAUGAACAAAGUAUUUUCAAAAGAUUCCUUGAAGUGCAAGAAAACUGGCCUAUAAGUCUUGACAAAUCUUGAAGAUUU